GAUCAUGGCUCAGGACGAACGCUGGCGGCGUGCCUAACACAUGCAAGUCGAGCGGAGUCAGUAAGAGGAAGUUUCGGAUGGAAUCUGUUGAUUUAGCGGCGGACGGGUGAGUAACGCGUGAGCGACCAACCUUGCACAGGGGGAUAACGGACCGAAAGGUUCACUAAUACCGCAUGAGACCACGGUGUUGCAUGACACAGAGGUCAAAGGAGCAAUCCGGUGCAAGACGGGCUCGCGUCCGAUUAGGUAGUUGGAGGGGUGACGGCCCACCAAGCCUAUGAUCGGUAGCCGACCUGAGAGGGUGAUCGGCCACAUUGGAACUGAGAUACGGUCCAAACUCCUACGGGAGGCAGCAGUGGGGAAUAUUGGGCAAAUGGGGGAAACCCUGACCCAGCAACGCCGCGUGAAGGAAGAAGGUUUUCGGAUUGUAAACUUCUGUCCUUGGUGAAGAGAAGAAGACGGUAGCCAAGGAGGAAGCCCCGGCUAACUACGUGCCAGCAGCGGC
rnacentral:rRNA from 1 species